rnacentral:rRNA from 1 species
AUUAAACGCUGGCGGCAUGCCUUACACAUGCAAGUCGAACGGUAGCGCGGGGCAACCUGGCGACGAGUGGCGAACGGGUGAGUAAAGCAUCGGAACGUGCCCUGGAAUGGGGGAUAACGUAGCGAAAGUUACGCUAAUACCGCAUAUUCUGUGAGCAGGAAAGCAGGGGAUCGCAAGACCUUGCGUUCUGGGAGCGGCCGAUGUCGGAUUAGCUAGUUGGUGGGGUAAAAGCCUACCAAGGCGACGAUCCGUAGCGGGUCUGAGAGGAUGAUCCGCCACACUGGGACUGAGACACGGCCCAGACUCCUACGGGAGGCAGCAGUGGGGGAAUUUUGGACAAUGGGCGGAAGCCUGAUCCAGCCAUGCCGCGUGAGUGAAGAAGGCC